GCACUUGUGGAUGCCUGGCCGUAUAUUUCCCAGGCUUAAAGACUCUGAAAUCUUUGGACUACGACUGACAUAGGAGCAAAUACUCAGCAAAUACUGAGAACCUAGGAUAACUGAUCGGUGGUUCCAUGUGUAAGUUCAAUUGUCAUGUCACCAAAAUCGUCCAAUAUCGUCAAUUGCAGAAAUGACCAUGUUACCAACUCAUAUUUUUAAUUUUUUGUCCCACACUCCCACUCCCAGCGAGUCGUCUGACCAUGUGUCCUGAUCCUGAAAGUGCUGUCGUUGCUGUCCGUAUGAAGAAAUGUCGUCUCGUACUAGAAAGUAGAAACUUGAAUGGAAUGGUAACAUUAACAGUUCCUUCAAUUUAUGUUUGGCAAUUCCAUCUGAUCAUGCGACUUGCCUUCCCAAAAUGUCGUCUCUUGCUGUAUGUUGCAUGGUUCGUCAAAAGAUGAGUUUUUUUCUCGCCAUUCGUCUAAGCUGAACCGAUAGUGAACCAAGUUUAAGC